rnacentral:rRNA from 1 species
GGGUGGUAAAUUUCAUCUAAAGCUAAAUAUUGGCCGGAGACCGAUAGCGCACAAGUAGAGUGAUCGAAAGGUUAAAAGCACCUUGAAAAGGGAGUUAAACAGCACGUGAAAUUGUUGAAAGGGAAGCGCUUGCGGCCAGACUCGGGCGCAGGGUUCAGCGGGUGCGUGUCACCCGUGCACUCCCUGCCGCCCGGGCCAGCAUCAGUUCUAACGGUCGGUCAAAGGCCCCCGGAAUGUGUCGUCUCUCGGGACGUCUUAUAGCCGGGGGUGCAAUGCGGCCCGUCGGGACUGAGGAACGCGCUUCGGCUCGGAUGCUGGCGUAAUGGCCGUAAGCGGCCCGUCUGAAAAACACGGAC